rnacentral:pre_miRNA from 1 species
GCUAGGAAGAGGAAGAAGGAGAAGGACUAAGAGCAGCGGGAAUGAGAACAUAGAGGAAAAGUCUAACUAUUGGUCCACUUCCUGUGUUGAGAUGGAAAUUUAGUUUGAUAUUUCCUGAUGCCUCUCAUUCCUAUCCUUAUGCGCCCCUUCCUCUUCCUUUUCGUU